rnacentral:rRNA from 1 species
GAUGAACGCUAGCUACAGGCUUAACACAUGCAAGUCGAGGGGUAGCAGGGUAGCAAUACCGCUGACGACCGGCGCACGGGUGAGUAACACGUAUCCAACCUUCCCAUAACUCAGGGAUAGCCUUUCGAAAGAAAGAUUAAUACCUGAUAGUACUUUUUUAGGGCAUCCUGAUGAAGUUAAAGAUUUAUCGGUUAUGGAUGGGGAUGCGUUCCAUUAGAUAGUUGGUGAGGUAACGGCUCACCAAGUCUUCGAUGGAUAUGGGUUCUGAGAGGAAGGUCCCCCACAUUGGUACUGAGACACGGACCAAACUCCUACGGGAGGCAGCAGUGAGGAAUAUUGGUCAAUGGGCGAGAGCCUGAACCAGCCAAGUAGCGUGAAGGAUGAAUGUCCUAUGGAUUGUAAACUUCUUUUAUAGUAGAAUAAAGUGAGCCACGUGUGGUUUUUUGUAUGUAUACUAUGAAUAAGGAUCGGCUAACUCCGUGCCAGCCGCCGCUGUAACAC